CAGAUUGAACGCUGGCGGCAUGCUUUACACAUGCAAGUCGGACGGCAGCACAGAGAAGCUUGCUUCUUGGGUGGCGAGUGGCGAACGGGUGAGUAACAUAUCGGAACGUACCGAGCAGUGGGGGAUAACUAAUCGAAAGAUUAGCUAAUACCGCAUAUAUUCUGAGGAAGAAAGCAGGGGACCAUUUGGCCUUGCGCUGUUUGAGCGGCCGAUAUCUGAUUAGCUAGUUGGUGGGGUAAAGGCCUACCAAGGCGACGAUCAGUAGCGGGUCUGAGAGGAUGAUCCGCCACACUGGGACUGAGACACGGCCCAGACUCCUACGGGAGGCAGCAGUGGGGAAUUUUGGACAAUGGGCGCAAGCCUGAUCCAGCCAUGCCGCGUGUCUGAAGAAGGCCUUCGGGUUGUAAAGGACUUUUGUCAGGGAAGAAAAGGGCGGGGUUAAUACCCCUGUCUGAUGACGGUACCUGAAGAAUAAGCACCGGCUAACUAC
rnacentral:rRNA from 1 species